UUCUGGUCUUUAAUGUAACAACAUUUAGCAGUAAGUUUGGUAGGGUGCCCCCAGCAAGGAGAGCAAAAAACCAAAAGUUGUUGUAUCUUUAACAUAAUAUGAGCCACACAAUUAAGUAAAUCUCAUAAUUGUGUGCAACUGCAUCAAUUAUAAGGUUGCUGAGGUGCAGCAGAUAAUUACCAGAGAUAUUAGCAGAGCUUCAAGUGUCUUGAGUGACUAGCUACCGUUUACUACUCAAAGCAGAAGGACUACUCUUACUGUGCAGUGCUGAGCCUCUUACACCCUUAUAUGAAAUGCAAAGGGUGUGCCACAUCACCUGUUUGUCUUCUCCUUUCUUCCCUUAGAGUGGAGAACAGCAAAAUCAGAAAGGUCUUUUGGAUUGAGGGAGCAAACUGGAACGCAGGAUGCCUGCUGAUCGGGAAGUGCGCUGAGAUUUCUCCUACAGACUUAGAUUCUAAUUUCAUUUGUAAUUUGGAAUGGCUCCCAGUGCUCUGCAAGGCCUGUCUAAAUGACUAGAAGAUACUGAAAUAAAAAAGAAUAAUUAACAUAUAAGUGGAAGAAUGGAGUAAACAUGACUGUGGAUGUGUUCUUAGAGGAAGCUGGGUGGUCGUCUUCAAAAGAAGUUGCCAGAAAGCAAAGAGAAAUAGUUUGGAUUGAGGGUUUAGCUGGUUGCCACAAACCUCUCAGUAUGCAUAUCCUUGGAGUUUCAGCAUGAAGCUACUCAAGUAACGGGAAGUUUAAUUGGUGUUUGUGAUGGAAGAUCAACCAGGAGUCUGACAGAGAUAAAGGAUUUUUCAGAGGAACAGUCAGCUCUGUCCACUUGCUGGCAGCACUGCCAGCAUCACAGGAAUGUGGAUGUCAACAUUUCUCCUUUCUUCUGCAAGCACUCCUGUUUUUAAGUAUCUUCAGAAUAAAGGUUUCUAGAUUUGGCAUUACCUGUUUUUGAUUCUAUAUGAGAGGCCUUAUACAAAAAUUUUCAAAUAGACAAUAAUUUGAAUGAACUGCUGUUUGAAUGUACUUGUCAGCUAGCACGUGACUCUUGAAUACAUUUGGUAUCUAGAUUCUGGUCUCUGUUUUGUUGAUCCUAUAACGUUUGAGUCAAAUAUGAAGAUCAGUAAAA
rnacentral:lncRNA from 1 species